AGAGAGUAGCCCAACCUCUUAUAAGUCCAUGCAAAGUCCCUCCUCUCAUAAUGUGAAAUUCAUUCCCAAGAGUCCCACAUUCUCACACUCAGCACAUCCACUACCAAAUUAGUUUUCGUUGUUUCUUGUACAAGAAGAAAGUUGAAAACGGCAAGAAUGCUUACCUUUCAAGCAAAUAAGCAAAUGGUCCAACCAAAACCAUGGCAAGAACAUGCCUAUAAACCACGAAGACAAUCAGAUUGCCAGUUUGGGAUUGCUACACUUAAAAAAAAAAAGGUAAAUUACACUUUCAUACCUCAGGUUUGAGGUCUAUUUCAAUUCCUUACAACAUUUUCAAAACAUUUCACUUUCAUACUUUAAGUACUAUUUUAUUUCAAAAUAAUACCUCCAGUACAUUUUCCAUCCAUUGAUCCGUUAAAUGCUGACGUGGCUGCCACAUAUAUGCCACGUGGUUGCCAAAUGUCUGUCAUGUGGCAAAAAAAUAAUAAUUUUUAAUUUUCUUU
rnacentral:lncRNA from 1 species